CCGCCUGGGGAGUACGGCCGCAAGGUUAAAACUCAAAUGAAUUGACGGGGGCCCGCACAAGCGGUGGAGCAUGUGGUUUAAUUCGAUGCAACGCGAAGAACCUUACCUGGUCUUGACAUCCACAGAACUUUCCAGAGAUGGACUGGUGCCUUCGGGAACUGUGAGACAGGUGCUGCAUGGCUGUCGUCAGCUCGUGUUGUGAAAUGUUGGGUUAAGUCCCGCAACGAGCGCAACCCUUAUCCUUUGUUGCCAGCGGUUAGGCCGGGAACUCAAAGGAGACUGCCAGUGAUAAACUGGAGGAAGGUGGGGAUGACGUCAAGUCAUCAUGGCCCUUACGACCAGGGCUACACACGUGCUACAAUGGCGCAUACAAAGAGAAGCGACCUCGCGAGAGCAAGCGGACCUCAUAAAGUGCGUCGUAGUCCGGAUUGGAGUCUGCAACUCGACUCCAUGAAGUCGGAAUCGCUAGUAAUCGUGGAUCAGAAUGCCACGGUGAAUACGUUCCCGGGCCUUGUACACACCGCCCGUCACACCAUGGGAGUGGGUUGCAAAAGAAGUAGGUAGCUUAACCUUCGGGAGGGCGCUUACCACUUUGUGAUUCAUGACUGGGGUGAAGUCGUAACAAGGUAACCGUAGGGGAACCUGCGGUUGGAUCACCUCCUUACCUUAAAGAAGC
rnacentral:rRNA from 1 species